UACGUAGGGGGCAAGCGUUGUCCGGAAUCAUUGGGCGUAAAGCGCGUGUAGGCGGCUCGGUAAGUCCGCUCUGAAAGUCCAGGGCUCAACCCUGGGAUGCGGGUGGAUACUGCCGGGCUCGAGUCCGGAAGAGGCGAGUGGAAUUCCCGGUGUAGCGGUGAAAUGCGCAGAUAUCGGGAGGAACACCAAUGGCGAAGGCAG
rnacentral:rRNA from 1 species